rnacentral:rRNA from 1 species
ACGGGGCCGCACAAGCGGUGGAGCAUGUUGGUUUAAUUCGAAGCAACGCGAAGUAACUUUACCAGGUCUUGACAUCCCGAUGCUAUUUCUAGAGAUAGAAAGUUACUUCGGUACAUCGGUGACAGGUGGUGCAUGGUUGUCGUCAGCUCGUGUCGUGAGAUGUUGGGUUAAGUCCCGCAACGAGCGCAACCCCUAUUGUUAGUUGCCAUCAUUCAGUUGGGCACUCUAGCGAGACUGCCGGUAAUAACCGGAGGAAGGUGGGGAUGACGUCAAAUCAUCAUGCCCCUUAUGACCUGGGCUACACACGUGCUACAAUGGUUGGUACAACGAGUUGCGAGUCGGUGACGGCGAGCUAAUCUCUUAAAGCCAAUCUCAGUUCGGAUUGUAGGCUGCAACUCGCCUACAUGAAGCCGGAAUCGCUAGUAAUCGCGGAUCAGCACGCCGCGGUGAAUACGUUCCCGGGCCUU